rnacentral:rRNA from 1 species
UACGUAGGGGGCAAGCGUUGUCCGGAAUCAUUGGGCGUAAAGAGCGUGUAGGCGGCCCGAUAAGUCCGCUGUGAAAGUCCAGGGCUCAACCCUGGGAUGCCGGUGGAUACUGUCGGGCUCGAGUCCGGAAGAGGCGAGUGGAAUUCCUGGUGUAGCGGUGGAAUGCGCAGAUAUCAGGAAGAACACCAACGGCGAAGGCAGCUCGCUGGGACGGAACUGACGCUAAGGCGCGAAAGCGUGGGGAGCGAACAGG